UACAUAGGGUGCGAGCGUUAUCCGGAUUUAUUGGGUGUAAAGGGUGCGUAGACGGGAAUUUAAGUUGGUUGUGAAAUCCCUAGGCUUAACUUAGGAACUGCAACCAAAACUGGAUUUCUUGAGUGCUGGAGAGGUAAGUGGAAUUCCUAGUGUAGCGGUGAAAUGCGUAGAUAUUAGGAGGAACACCAGUGGCGAAGGCGACUUACUGGACAGUAACUGACGUUGAGGCACGAAAGUGUGGGGAGCAAAC
rnacentral:rRNA from 1 species